UGGAUUAGGAUUUGGAUUAGGAUUUGGAUUAGGUUUUAGGGUUUGGAUUAGGUUUUAGGAUUUGGUUAGGGUUUGAUUUAGGAUUUGGAUUAAGAUUUGAUUUAGGGUUUAGGAUUUGCAUUAGAGUUUAGAGUUGGAUUAAAGUUUAGGAUUUGGUUAAGGUUUGAUUUAGGGUUUGGAUUAGAAUUUGAUUUAAGGUUUGGUUUAAGGUUUAGGAUUUGUAUUAGACUUUAAGGUUGGAUUAGGAUAUGGAUUAGGGUUUGGAUUAGGGUUUAAGAUUUGAUUAGGAUUUGAUUUAGGAUUUGGAUUAGGGUUUGGUUAGGAUUUGAUUUAAGGUUUGGUUUAGGAUUUAGGAUUGGAUUAGGAUUUGGUUUAGGAUCUGAUUUAGGAGUUGGUUUAGGAUUUAGGAUUUGGAAUAGGGUUUAAUUUAAGAUUUGUUUAGGAUUUGACUUAGGAUUUAGGAAUUAUUAGGAUUUAAGAUUUAAUUAGGUUUGGUCUAAAGUUGAGUGAAAUUCAAUAGGAUUUUAACUAGAAUUAAAUUAAGGUUGAAUUGACAUAUAUUUGAGUAAAAUUUGUGAUCAUUCUAAUAUUUCUUUAAGAAUUUUAUUGUUUGUUUGAAAUUUCUUUGA
rnacentral:lncRNA from 1 species